UACGUAGGUGGCAAGCGUUGUCCGGAUUUACUGGGCGUAAAGAGCGCGCAGGCGGCUGGGCAAGUCCGAUGUGAAAGCUUCUGGCUUAACUGGAAAAUUGCAUCGGAAACUGCUCGGCUUGAAGGUGGGAGAGGGUAGCGGAAUUCCCGGUGUAGUGGUGAAAUGCGUAGAUAUCGGGAGGAACACCAGUGGCGAAGGCGGCUACCUGGCCCAUUCUUGACGCUGAGGCGCGAAAGCUAGGGGAGCAAACGGG
rnacentral:rRNA from 1 species